AGCCUUUGCCCGAAUGUUGGCAUGAGAGUUCUUUAGAUAAGCAAGGAGCGGGACCAAACCUCCAAUUGAGUGUAGAUCAUUUGCCAUGUCAAUAGAUUCAACAUGCUCUUGCAGUUCAUCCAACAUAUCUUCAAUAUCAGCAGGAGCAAUUCCCUGAGCCUCCAAGACUUGCUCUGGGGUUUGCAUGACGAGAGUUAUCUCCUUCAUGCGUUUGAUGACAUCAACAGUCUGCGCUUGCAUAGCUUCCAUAA
rnacentral:misc_RNA from 1 species